rfam:Triticum aestivum genome assembly, contig: Triticum_aestivum_CS42_TGACv1_scaffold_328577_4BS
CAAAUAAUCCCUCCAUUCGGAAAUACUUGUCAUCAAAAUGGAUAAACGGAAAUGUAUAUAGACGUAUUUUAGUUUUAGAUACAUCUCUUUUUAUCCAUUUUGAUGACAAGUAUUUUCGGACGGAGGGAGUAUUUA